GUUUUGCUUUGCUCCGGGAAGAGUGCAGACACGACGUGAAAUCCGGAGCUCUUUGCGUGGUGCAUUUAAAAUGCUUCCUUAUUUAUAUUACCCUCAUCCCCUCCCCUCUCCCACCCCCUCACCAGCCCUUCCAAAUUUCCCUAGAAAUCUGUGUAAAGCGUGGAGGGGAAAACAUUUGCAUAAAAAGUGAAGGAGCACGCCAAGGAGUUCCCGCUUGGGUGGUCAAGCCCGUCCUGAUACUGAAUGGUACAGUGAGGAGUGGCCACCCAAGGGAGGCAGUCUCGGAGGUCACAGGAGCUGAUAAGCCUGGAUGAAAGAUCACAGGAGUUCCAGGAACUCCGUUACUUGCAUGGAGAGGAAGUUUGCAAGAGAAUUUGGCAGUUCUGCUGGAUCAAGCAAAUAAAGAUUGGCAACUGGAGCUAGAGCUGGGGCUGGAGAGAUGGCUUAGCAGUUAAGAGCACUGGCUGCUCUUCCAGAGGAUCCAGGUUCAAUUUCCAGGACCCAUAUAGCAGCUCACAGCUGUCUGUAACUCCAGAUCCAGAGGAUCCGACAUGCUCACACAGACUUACACUCAGGAUUUGACAACUGGAUGUGAGAAUCGAACCAAAGCUCCCUGUGUCCACCUGGUUGGCAGAGUGCUUCCCCAGCACAGAAGGAACUGGUACACACGUGGGAUUCAAGCACUCAGGAGCUGGAGGCAGAGCACCAGAAGCUCAGGUAUAAGGGGUUCAGGGUCAGCCUAGGGCACAUGAGAUCCUGCCGAAAGCAACAACCAAACUCAACGUGCUGAACUAUAUUCAGCUGAAGAUCAGAUAGUGCAGUGGAUGGCAGAGCUGUUAAGAACAGGUAAUGAAGACUUGGACCCUUGUCUCAAUUGUUAAGCUAUGAUAGUAUUCUUAAAAACAUCCAACUUCUAUAGAGUUCCCUAAUUAUGAAAAUUUCUUUUAUACAGUUUAGUACUCCUGGUUUUGCUGUGCAAAUUGAAUGUGGAUUUGUAGAAAUUUGUACCAAAAUGUAGAAAAACUGCCAAAGAACUUCAAUGGAAAUCUUUAUGUACUAUUACAAUGAAAUGCUGUUAAUUCAUGUUGCUUACAUUAAAGACUAUUUUCAACUUUAAAUAUUUUAAAUAAAUGAUUCUGAAGUCCCAA
rnacentral:lncRNA from 1 species